UAUGGUCAUAUUGUGUUGAAACACCAGUUCCCAUAUAAUCACCAAAAUUAAGCAACAUCAAGCCUGGUCAGUACCUAGAUGGGUGACCUUGAGAAUAUCAGGUGCUGUAAG